GCAGGGGUAGCGAAGUGGUCAAACGCGAUAGGCUCAAGAUUAUGACCAUAGGAUACCUAUUCCCUUAGUGGGUUCGUCGGUUCGAAUCCGAUCCCCUGCA
rnacentral:tRNA from 1 species